UGAUAUCCUACGGGAGGCAGCAGUUAGGAAUCUUCGUCAAUGGGCGAAAGCCUGAACGAGCGACGCCGCUUGAGGGACGAAGCCCUUCGGGGUGUAAACCUCUGAACAGGGGACGAUGAUGACGGUACCCUGCUAAUAGCACCGGCUAACUCCGUGCCAGCAGCCGCGGUAAUACGGAGGGUGCGAGCGUUACCCGGAUUUACUGGGCGUAAAGGGCGUGUAGGCGGUUUUCUAAGUCCGGGGCUAAAGACCAGGGCUCAACCCUGGGUUUGCCUUGGAUACUGGAAAGCUCGACGGCUGGAGGGGCAGCGGAAUUUCCGGAGUAGCGGUGAAAUGCGUAGAUAUAUCA
rnacentral:rRNA from 1 species